GGCCUACCAUGGUGGUAACGGGUAACGGGGUGUUAGGGCACGACACCGGAGAGGGAGCCUGAGAAACGGCUACCACAUCCAAGGAUGGCAGCAGGCGCGCAAAUUACCCAAUCCCGACACGGGGAGGUAGUGACAAUAAAUAACAAUACGGGGUUCUUACGGAUCUCGUAAUUGGAAUGAGUACAAUUUAAAUCUCUUAACGAGGAACAAUUGGAGGGCAAGUCUGGUGCCAGCAGCCGCGGUAAUUCCAGCUCCAAUAGCGUAUAUUAAAGUUGUUGCAGUUAAAAAGCUCGUAGUUGAAUUUCGGGAUCAAUAUGUCGGUCGUGCCUCGGUACGUACUGGCAUCAUUGGUUUCUCCCUUCUGAUGAACCAUAAUGCCAUUAAUUUGGUGUUGUGGGGAAUCAGGACUGUUACUUUGAAAAAAUUAGAGUGUUUAAAGCAGGCUCACGCUUGAAUACAUUAGCAUGGAAUAAUGAAAUAGGACGUUUGAUUCUAUUUUGUUGGUUUCUAGGGUCGACGUAAUGAUUAAUAGGGAUAGUUGGGGGCAUUAGUAUUCAAUUGUCAGAGGUGAAAUUCUUGGAUUUAUUGAAGACUAACUACUGUGAAAGCAUUUGCCAAGGAUGUUUUCAUUAAUCAAGUACGAAAGUUAGGGGAUCGAAGACGAUCAGAUACCGUCGUAGUCUUAACCAUAAACUAUGCCGACUAGGGAUCGGAUGAUGUUAAUUUUUUAAUGACUCAUUCGGCGCCUUACG
rnacentral:rRNA from 1 species